AUUUUUGUAGUUCGGAACAGUUGGAGCCCUUCUGAAUGUCCGUUUAAGCUUAAAUUUGACAGGCAGGCUCAGUUUAACGUACUGAGUAAGAAUAUAUUUUAAGUUUUCAGUUUCGACCCCAUUUGGUCACCGAAAACUGUACCGAACUGUAAUCUUUAUCAGAUAGCUGUCGGAUUUUAUUUCUCACUCUACGGGUGUCAGAAAAAUAUGAAACUUUAAAUCUAACAUCAUAAAAAUAUUUCUGACUUAUCCUCCAAUUUUCAUAAUUUUCUGAGACUGUGCAUUUUCUGCUAAUUAUCUGU
rnacentral:lncRNA from 1 species